UACGAAGGGGGGCUAGCGUUGCUCGGAAUCACUGGGCGUAAAGGGUGCGUAGGCGGGUUUUUAAGUCAGGGGUGAAAUCCUGGAGCUCAACUCCAGAACUGCCUUUGAUACUGAAGAUCUUUGAGUCCGGGAGAGGUGAGUGGAACUGCGAGUGUAGAGGUGAAAUUCGUAGAUAUUCGCAAGAACACCAGUGGCGAAGGCGGCUCACUGGCCCGGUACUGACGCUGAGGCACGAAAGCGUGGGGAGCAAACAGG
rnacentral:rRNA from 1 species